AGAGUUUGAUCAUGGCUCAGGACGAACGCUGGCGGCGUGCUUAACACAUGCAAGUCGAACGGAGGAUUUAUUUCGGUAAAUCCUUAGUGGCGAACGGGUGAGUAACGCGUGGGCAACCUGCCCUUCAGAUGGGGACAACAUCCCGAAAGGGGUGCUAAUACCGAAUACGAUCGUUUUCCCGCAUGGGGAUGCGAUGAAAGAUGGCCUCUAUUUAUAAGCUAUCGCUGAAGGAUGGGCCUGCGUCUGAUUAGCUAGUUGGUGGGGUAACGGCCUACCAAGGCGAUGAUCAGUAGCCGGUCUGAGAGGAUGAACGGCCACAUUGGGACUGAGACACGGCCCAAACUCCUACGGGAGGCAGCAGUGGGGAAUAUUCCGCAAUGGACGAAAGUCUGACGGAGCAACGCCGCGUGAGUGAUGAAGGUUUUCGGACUGUAAAGCUCUGUUGUUCAGGACGAAAGUGCCUGUUGCGAACAGUUACAGGUAUUGACGGUACUGAACGAGGAAGCCACGGCUAACUACGUGCCAGCAGCCGCGGUAAUACGUAGGUGGCAAUCGUUGUCCGGAAUUAUUGGGCGUAAAGAGCAUGUAGGCGGGAAUCUAAGUCUGUUGUGAAAAUGCGGGGCUCAACCCCGUAUGGCGGUGGAAACUGGAUUUCUUGAGUGCAGGAGAGGAAAGGGGAAUUCCCAGUGUAGCGGUGAAAUGCGUAGAUAUUGGGGAGGAACACCAGUGGCGAAGGCGCCUUUCUGGACUGUGUCUGACGCUGAGAUGCGAAAGCCAGGGUAGCGAACGGGAUUAGAUACCCCGGUAGUCCUGGCCCGUAAACGAUGGGUACUAGGUGUAGGGGGUAUCGACCCCUCCUGUGCCGGAGUUAACGCAAUAAGUACCCCGCCUGGGGGAGGUACGGCCCGCAAGGUUGAAACUCAAAGGAAUU
rnacentral:rRNA from 1 species